rnacentral:rRNA from 1 species
AUACGGAGGGUGCAAGCGUUAUCCGGAAUCAUUGGGUUUAAAGGGUCCGUAGGCGGAUUAUUAAGUCAGAGGUGAAAUCCCACAGCUUAACUGUGGAACUGCCUUUGAUACUGGUAGUCUUGAGUUAUAUGGAAGUAGAUAGAAUGUGUAGUGUAGCGGUGAAAUGCAUAGAUAUUACACAGAAUACCGAUUGCGAAGGCAGUCUACUACGUAUAUACUGACGCUAAUGGACGAAAGCGUGGGGAGCGAACAGGAUUAGAAACCCUAGUAGUCC